rnacentral:rRNA from 1 species
ACCUGCAGCCAUACCAUCCUGAAUAUGCCUGACCUCAUUUGAUCUCAGAAGCUAAGCUGGUCAGGCCUGGUUAGUUCUUGGAUGGGGGACCACCUGCAAAUAUCAGGUGUUGCUUGGG